rnacentral:rRNA from 1 species
AGACCCGAAACCCGGUGAUCUAGCCAUGGGCAGGUUGAAGGUUGGGUAACACUAACUGGAGGACCGAACCGACUAAUGUUGAAAAAUUAGCGGAUGACCUGUGGCUGGGGGUGAAAGGCCAAUCAAACCGGGAGAUAGCUGGUUCUCCCCGAAAGCUAUUUAGGUAGCGCCUCGUGAAUUCAUCUCCGGGGGUAGAGCACUGUUUCGGCUAGGGGGCCAUCCCGGCUUACCAACCCGAUGCAAACUGCGAAUACCGGAGAAUGUUAUCACGGGAGACACACGGCGGGUGCUAACGUCCGUCGUGAAGAGGGAAACAACCCAGACCGCCAGCUAAGGUCCCAAAGUCAUGGUUAAGUGGGAAACGAUGUGGGAAGGCCCAGACAGCCAGGAUGUUGGCUUAGAAGCAGCCAUCAUUUAAAGAAAGCGUAAUAGCUCACUGGUCGAGUCGGCCUGCGCGGAAGAUGUAACGGGGCUAAACCAUGCACCGAAGCUGCGGCAGCGACACUCAGGUGUUGUUGGGUAGGGGAGCGUUCUGUAAGCCUGCGAAGGUGUGUCGUGAGGCAUGCUGGAGGUAUCAGAAGUGCGAAUGCUGACAUAAGUAACGAUAAAGCGGGUGAAAAGCCCGCUCGCCGGAAGACCAAGGGUUCCUGUCCAACGUUAAUCGGGGCAGGGUGAGUCGACCCCUAAGGCGAGGCCGAAAGGCGUAGUCGAUGGGAAACGGGUUAAUAUUCCCGUACUUGGUGUUACUGCGAAGGGGGGACGGAGAAGGCUAUGUUGGCCGGGCGACGGUUGUCCCGGUUUAAGCGUGUAGGUGUGUGUUCCAGGUAAAUCCGGUUCACUUUAACACUGAGGCGUGAUGACGAGGCACUACGGUGCUGAAGCAACAAAUGCCCUGCUUCCAGGAAAAGCCUCUAAGCAUCAGGUAACAUCAAAUCGUACCCCAAACCGACACAGGUGGUCAGGUAGAGAAUACCAAGGCGCUUGAGAGAACUCGGGUGAAGGAACUAGGCAAAAUGGUGCCG